CCUACGGGAGGCAGCAGUGAGGAAUAUUGGUCAAUGGACGAGAGUCUGAACCAGCCAAGUAGCGUGAAGGAUGACUGCCCUAUGGGUUGUAAACUUCUUUUAUAAAGGAAUAAAACGAGGCACGUGUGCCUUUUUGCAUGUACUUUAUGAAUAAGGAUCGGCUAACUCCGUGCCAGCAGCCGCGGUAAUACGGAGGAUCCGAGCGUUAUCCGGAUUUAUUGGGUUUAAAGGGGGCGUAGAUGGGUUGUUAAGUCAGUUGUGAAAGUUUGCGGCUCAACCGUAAAAUUGCAAUUGAUACUGGCAGUCGUGAGUACAGUUGAGGUAGGCGGAAUUCGUGGUGUAGCGGUGAAAUGCUUAGAUAUCACGAAGAACCCCGAUUGCGAAGGCAGCUUACUAAACUGUGACUGACAUUGAUGCUCGAAAGUGUGGGUAUCAAACAGGAUUAGAUACCCCAGUAGUC
rnacentral:rRNA from 1 species